rnacentral:rRNA from 1 species
AUGCAGUCGAACGAUGAUCCGGUGCUUGCACCGGGGAUUAGUGGCGAACGGGUGAGUAACACGUGAGUAACCUGCCCUUAACUCUGGGAUAAGCCUGGGAAACUGGGUCUAAUACCGGAUAUGACUGAUCAUCGCAUGGUGGUUGGUGGAAAGCUUUUUUGUGGUUUUGGAUGGACUCGCGGCCUAUCAGCUUGUUGGUGAGGUAAUGGCUUACCAAGGCGACGACGGGUAGCCGGCCUGAGAGGGUGACCGGCCACACUGGGACUGAGACACGGCCCAGACUCCUACGGGAGGCAGCAGUGGGGAAUAUUGCACAAUGGGCGCAAGCCUGAUGCAGCGACGCCGCGUGAGGGAUGACGGCCUUCGGGUUGUAAACCUCUUUCAGUAGGGAAGAAGCGAAAGUGACGGUACCUGCAGAAGAAGCGCCGGCUAACUACGUGCCAGCAGCCGCGGUAAUACGUAGGGCGCAAGCGUUAUCCGGAAUUAUUGGGCGUAAAGAGCUCGUAGGCGGUUUGUCGCGUCUGCCGUGAAAGUCCGGGGCUCAACUCCGGAUCUGCGGUGGGUACGGGCAGACUAGAGUGAUGUAGGGGAGACUGGAAUUCCUGGUGUAGCGGUGAAAUGCGCAGAUAUCAGGAGGAACACCGAUGGCGAAGGCAGGUCUCUGGGCAUUAACUGACGCUGAGGAGCGAAAGCAUGGGGAGCGAACAGGAUUAGAUACCCUGGUAGUCCAUGCCGUAAACGUUGGGCACUAGGUGUGGGGGACAUUCCACGUUUUCCGCGCCGUAGCUAACGCAUUAAGUGCCCCGCCUGGGGAGUACGGCCGCAAGGCUAAAACUCAAAGGAAUUGACGGGGGCCCGCACAAGCGGCGGAGCAUGCGGAUUAAUUCGAUGCAACGCGAAGAACCUUACCAAGGCUUGACAUGAACCGGAAAGACCUGGAAACAGGUGCCCCGCUUGCGGUCGGUUUACAGGUGGUGCAUGGUUGUCGUCAGCUCGUGUCGUGAGAUGUUGGGUUAAGUCCCGCAACGAGCGCAACCCUCGUUCUAUGUUGCCAGCACGUGAUGGUGGGGACUCAUAGGAGACUGCCGGGGUCAACUCGGAGGAAGGUGGGGACGACGUCAAAUCAUCAUGCCCCUUAUGUCUGGGCUUCNGCAUGCUACAUGGCCGGUACAAGGGUUGCGAUACUGUGAGGUGGAGCUAAUCCCAAAAGCCGGUCUCAG